AAUACUUGAGUUUUCAUUCACACCACAAUCAUAGUGGCAUUUAAAUUCACAAUUAAUCGUCCAAAUUCAAUAUGCAGGUCUUAGUUCUUUUUGGCGUAGUUUGGCUCAUAUAUUAUGGCAUACAUAAAUACAUUAUGACACUGGAUAUCAUGGUACCCAGAAUCAAAGCUGGGGCCCAAGGUUCGCAAAGAUACAUUGUUGAUGUCUAAUGCGAUUGUUGGUGACACCUUGGCAAGGCCUUUGGAAUUGUAAAGACUUCUUAUAGUCUGAAAAUGUAGGCGAUUAUUGAUGUACUACUUAGUCUUUUGCCUACUGUUGUAGUUGUGAUUGUACUCUUAGGAGUCUCUACAGAUUCAUAGACUUGGUCCAAUGGAUGGAUGGAUUCCAAUGGAUUCAAUGGGUAAAUGGACAAUGGAACUCACUCGGAAGCCUGCACAUGUUCGAGUUGAAACAUUCGACUCUCAGAAUGAUAUCUAUGUAACAGAUAAAUGAUCCUAAUCUCCCGAAUAGCAUACAGAAAAUUGUAUACCACAGAACCACAAGCCAUUGAGGAGAUUUGGAAGGCAUCGGAGUCGUCCUCCAAAGAAAGUCUCAAGAAAGUGUUUGCUUGGAGUGAUGUCACCACUUGGACGCAUUUUCCAGAUUGUUCCAGACUGCUUACACCCUCAAUAUUCAUAGCAAUUAUAUAUUUAGAGAUGCAUAGAUCUAUUUCUUAAGUGGCAGAGCUCUCGUUGAUACCCAAAAUUUCCCAUAUUCAUUCGAUUUCGAUACUCAAACCCAGCCUUAUCGAACGGAAGCCACUUGCUUAACUCAAUCUGGGCUCAUUCUGGGUUCGGUCAUCGCACAGCAGACUAUCCCAUCCCAUCCCAUCCCAUUCCAUAACCCAUCCUAUCGCCACUCAUCUUUGGCAGGCGAUUUCAUAGAGGCUUGCGAAAUUCCACAUGUGACAAUUCAGCAUUCAAUAGAUGGAUGGCUGGGAUGACUGGGAUGGUUGGGAUGGCAUGGAGCUGAGCUCCUCGCUGGAGCUGGAGCUGGAGCUGGCUAAAAGCCUGUCAAUCGGCGAGAGGAAGCGCUGGGGACAAACGCCCUAAGUAGAGACCCAAAUCUCUGGAAAGCAAUUAGCAAGGCAAAACCCAAAAGAAAGAUCACCGCAAGACCGCUGUUCGGGGCACCAAUUGCAAUUGCCCAGACGACGGACAGCAUAGCGACACAGAACCCAGAGGAAGACGGACAGAAGCGGGAUUUAUCAGAGACAGAGACUGAGACUGAGUCUGAGUCCGAGAUGGAGCUGGAGCUGGAGUUGGAGCUGGGGUUUGAGUUGGAGAUGAAGAUGCAGAGACGCAGACGGAGAAAAGCAAUUCUGCGGCUGACGGUUUUCGCAGAAAAUUACAACUUGCGGGUAAACAAAGUCAACUGCCGGCAAUGGCUCAGACAUGGGCCAAGGGGCCGGGGCCGGGGCCGUGGCCGAAGCUAGGUCUGAGUGGAAUCCAACAGAAAACGGUGGGGCGGUGGAGGUUGAGAGCUCUAGAAGAAUUGGCGAUGAAGCCACACGCCAAAGUAAGCCCACAAGCCUUGUUUUGCUGCUGUUGCUGCUGAUGCUUCAACUCCCACUCCUCCUCCCAUGGCUGGUGCCGCCGGGCUCCAUGUGGAGUGGAUGUGGGUGCGCAAUUAUGCCGCCAGAGCAACCAAGUAACCAUAAAUUUUCUUAUCAGCGCCCAGCAAAAGUCCAGGAGCGGAUCUCAUCAGCACAGGCCGAUCUCAAGGGCCCUAAAGUAAAAUCUCAUCAGUCGGUUGGCUUCUAAGCCACAUUGGAAGAGAGAGAAAGGGAGCGCGAGGCGAGACACAACAGCCACGCUGUGAUACUUAAUUUCUAAAUAUAUAUAUAUGAUUCUAUGAUUUCUAAGUAUAUAGGAAAUCCUUGAU